rnacentral:rRNA from 1 species
GUCCUUUAGAUAUUAAUUUAAGGUCUAACCUGCCCACUGAAUUAUUUUAAAUGGCCGCAGUAAUUUGACUGUGCAAAGGUAGCAUAAUCAUUAGUUUUUUAAUUAAAAGCUUGUAUGAAAGGUUGGACGAAGUAAAAUCUGUCUCUAAUUAAUUUAAUUUAGAAUUUAACUUUUAAGUUAAAAGGCUUAAAUUUAACUAAAAGACGAGAAGACCCUAUAGAUCUUUAUAUUUUAAUUGAUAAAUUUAAUUAAGAAUUUUUAAAAUUUUAUUAAUUUAAUUAUUUUAUUGGGGUAAUAUAAAGAUUAAAAUAAUUCUUUUUUUUUAUUAACAUUAAUUUAUGAUUUUGAUGAUCCAAUUAUAUUGAUUUUAAGAUUAAGUUACCUUAGGGAUAACAGCGUAAUUUUUUUAGAGAGUUCUUAUCGAUAAAAAAGUUUGCGACCUCGAUGUUGGAUUAAAGAUUAUUUUAGGUGUAGAAGCUUAAAAAUUUUGGUCUGUUCGACCAUUAAAUCUUUACAUGAUCUGAGUUCAGACCGGUGUAAGCCAGGUCGGUUUCUAUCUUUAGUAAAUUAAAAUAUUUUAGUACGAAAGGACCAAUUAUUUAAUAUAAAUAUUUAUAUUUUGAUUAUUAUUAA